UACGUAGGGGGCGAGCGUUGUCCGGAUUUACUGGGCGUAAAGCGCGUGUAGGCGGUACCCUAAGUCCGGGGUGAAAUCCGGGGGCUUAACCCCCGAACGGCGCCGGAAACUGGAGCGCUUGAGUGUCGGAGAGGGGAGUGGAAUUCUCGGUGUAGCGGUGAAAUGCGUAGAGAUCGAGAGGAACACCCGUGGCGAAGGCGGCUCCCUGGCCGAACACUGACGCUGAGACGCGAAAGCGUGGGGAGCGAACGGG
rnacentral:rRNA from 1 species